GCGGGCGUGGCGGAAUUGGCAGACGCGCUGGAUUUAGGUUCCAGUGGGGCAACCCGUGCAGGUUCAAUUCCUGUCGCCCGCA
rnacentral:tRNA from 3 species